UUGAGGUCAAAAGUCGCUACCCUGCUAUCAUUAUGGAUAAAGUACAAACACUGAGACGGACAAUAAAACAAUAAUGAGGCAGAGGCCAGAGGGCCUGGAUGGUGAGCAGACACAGAGAGGAGAUAGCCAAAGUAGAGUGCAAAGGAGGGAGACAGUGACAGGCUACGUGAGGCAGAGAAGGGCCAGGGGAAGAUGGCCCAAGAGACAACAGGCACCCACGCUUUGAGAAUAAGCAGGUUCUACUGGAGGGCCCACAGGCUCAGGGUCGGGGAUGGCAGGGUGAGCCCUGUGUCUCGGGCCAGGGAGAGGGUAGCAGGUGCUGGCAGGACGCCUCAUGAACAGCGUGGUGGAGAGAACAGAGCCGGCCAGGUGGAGACUGAACAGCGUGGUGGAGAGAACAGAGCCGGCCAGGUGGAGACGGGUGGAGACUUCUGACGGACGAGGGCAGGGUGCCACCUCUUGGUCCUGUAAGGGCCAGUUGCCCUGCCCAGUGCCUCCGCUCUUAGCUAUGUACCCAUGGGACCUCCAGGCUGACGGAGAGAAAAGACCCGAAUGGGGUGGAGAAGGCUGCUAAGGGCAAGGGCCUGCUUCAGGUACCCAGUGCUUUCCUGCCACAGUUUUCCUGUUGUCCGAUCCUGGUGAUGAAUGUCUCCUGAUGGGCUUUGUCCUACAGAACACAGGUUUGAGUCCCACCUUAGCAUCUUCAUUUUCCUUGCGUCCUGGGCUACAUGCCUAACCUCUCUGGGCCUGGGUUUCCUCUUCUGUAGAGUAGGAACUGUUCUCACAGGCAGAGAGCAGGACUCGAGAGAGUGGGCCACACACCAACACACAGGAUCCUCAGUGCCCAGCAGUUAGAAUGGCUGCUGGGUCCUGGCGGCCAACCCCACCAGCUAUCUCUGCCCACAUCUGCCAAGGGCUGAGGAGGGGCAGCAGAGCGGGCACUUUCCUUCCAAACCCCGGCUGCUUUUAGUCUGUUCCCCAGUGUUCCUGGCAGUGGGAACACCGUAAAUGCAAGGAAGUCUGGAGGUGACUGGGUCACUCUUGAAUCCACCAGUUUCCCCUCUCCCCGCUCCUUGUAGGCGCAUCCCUGUCUCUCCACCACAUCUCUCCAGCCCCACCUUGCUGUUUCCCUAAACCCUGCUGUUCUCCACUGUAUGUGAAAAUUAUUCCAAAUAAUAUUCUUCAAGGCAUGUCCCUCCGACCACAUACUCCGUCAGCAUCUAAGCCAACAAAUGCCAGCUCUACUACCACGUGCUUCUUAGAAUGUGUCUGUUUCCCAACAGCUUGUCCCACAGCCAUGCAGACAGGGAGGGAACUUCCCUGUGGAGUCAUGACCCACAUGAGGCUCUAGAGCAGCCCAGCCUCCCACCCAGCACUGCCUUGACAACAGCAUCCUACGUGGGACCCACAGGGUACCAGGAGCAACGGUCAGCAAGCUCUACCACGGGGGUACAGGCUCCUGCGUAGCGACUGGGAGCACGCACACUUGUGGGGCCACUGGGAGGCACACUGGCUCCUCGGAACCAGGAGUUCCUUUCUAAGCCAGGCUGGCUCCCCAGGAGUCACCCACCCACUCUGAUCCUCAGUCUCUCACCUCUGAGCUGUCACCUGCAAGGAUCACAAAGAAUGGCCGCUAGAAAGCUAUGUGGGCUGUGCCGUGAUGGCUGUCAUGCCCCUGUCGCUACCCUGGCAGUAAGCUGUUCUCCACAACCUGCCUACUCUCUGGGAAACGACAGCAAGGGGAGGUGGCAUGGAGGGCACACUAUCCCUUUGUACGCACUCCCUGAGUUGACCCUGAGUUGUCUCUUCACGGGAGGGAAAGCAUUUGACUUGAGACCCACACAGCCAAGCACAGAGUGUUCUGGUCGCAAGAGAAACAAAUGAAUGAUUAAACGA